CGGAACCUGCCAGAAACCACAUCUUGCUAGAGAGGCUAGAGAGGGUGGGGUGGCCCCCGUCAUCCUCCCAACCCCGGGAGCUCAUGUAGUUCCUUAUCGUUUUAGCCCCUAUGACUUGGGAAAAAUUCUCAAGGUGACCCUUAUGGUAAAAUUAACUUGGAAUACAACUGCUUCUCAUCUUAAGUCAAUGUAUGAAUUAGUAUUUUCCAUUCUUUUUUCUAUUUUUUCUUUUUGCUGAUGGUCUUAACAAAUUAGGAUUGCCUUUUAAAUAAGUUUGAAGGUGUCCUCUCCCAUGUCUCUCAUCAAAGUCUUGUGGUUUUCAUUGCCCAGAUCUUUUCAUUUCUUCGGUUAAAUUUAUUUCUAAGUAUUUCAUUGUUUUUGGUGCUAUUAUGAAUGGGAUAGUUUUCUUUAUUUUUUUUUCUGAUGUUUUGUUUUUAGCGUAUGGAAACACCAUUGAUUUCUGCAUGUUGGUUUUAUGUCCUGCAACUUUACGAUGAAUUCAUUGAUUACUUACAACCGUGUUUAGGUUGAUUCUUUAGGACUUUCUACAUUUAAGGCCACUCAGCUCUGCCAAGUGAACACUAAUCCAGCCCAUUGAAGAAGUAUCAGGCCAUACACAGAGAACACCACUAAGUGACUGACCGAGCACACUCAACACCUCUUCUGUGACUAAGUCACCUGUCGCCAGGUCUGGUACAACCAAGGAGCCAGCGGUGCCAUGAACAGCCUCACCUUCCGGGCUGUGGUAUGAUCUUCAUUGGAACAGAGAGGAGAUACUACCAACGAAAUUCUUACACGGAAGAGCCGAUAGGGCUUGUCUAGUAGCUAACUUACUACCAGGGACAAGCAAGUCAUGUGGCAUUCAGGUUGACGUUAGGUGGAAUAAAUGGCCCUCUUCAACGGAGGAACUCAUUGUAUAUGCAAAAUUCCAUGGGGAUCUUCAAAUAGUACAAAUGCCGAAUUUCUGUUCCAUUGUGCCCAGAAAUACAUUAAUACCUAAGGAUCGUGUAUCCCUGGUUUUCAUCCUGAAAUGUUAGCACAGUAAUUAUGCAGGAUCCAGUAAUAGAAAAUUAACCCAUGUGGCUAAUUCUAGAACACUAUGCUGACCAGGUGUGUGGCAACUACACCUAGAAAGGCUAUUUCAAGAGGCGUAUCUGUCUUUUGCCAAAAGUCGUAAGAGUUCUGUGAUGAUCUAAAUUGCCACAUCAGCCUUUUUUCACCUUCCUGUUUCUUCCCGAGGAAACAAGUGCCUUUCUAUUGCCAGCCUCCCCUCUGUGAGUGACUGUGACAACACAGAGUGUCCUUCCUUACCCUUGAAACAAGAAGAGGUUGACAUAAUUGUAGCUCUUGGUGAGGAAGUUUCCAAGGACUCGCGUUGGGUAGCCGCAACGGAUUUGGUAGGCAGACAACCCAAAGUAAACACAUUUCACAAAGUACCAAAGCUGAGCGACCAGGUUCUGGCUGAAUUUCCUAAAGCGCAAAAACAUAAAAGUGAAAUAAUGGAAUAUUCUUCUGGUAUAAGAGCAUACCAGUUUAGGAUUCAAAAAAAAAAAAAAAAAAAGUCGAAUUGCCCCUCUGGCAGGUAGAGCCAGUUCAGUCAAUUGUAAGGAAUUCUCUGCACCUAGUAGUAGAUCACUUCGAAGGCAAACAGUAGGGUAAGAAAGUCUAAUAAUUAAAAAAAAUUCUACAAAUGGUGCCUCCAAUGUGUUAGUGCAUAAUUCAGUUGUUUAGGCCAUGAAUAAACUAAUUUCUUUUUAAGCGAAUUUACUAAUGAACAUUUUCUCACAAUGUGAAAGAUGCUGCUACCGUGAUCCAAAUUAAAGUUCAUCAAAAAGAUGUAUUUUUUUUUUUUACUUCAAAGGACCUGUCAUUUGGAAGGUGUAGGAGGAGGUAUCCUGAGGAAUGAAUUCCCCCUUUUUUUGCUAUCCAUCUAUAAAGGCAGGUCGUGGAUUAACAAAGUUUCAACACCCUUGGUUCCAGUUGUGUUUAUAACCUAUUGCGUUUGUUCCUCAAGCCAUCAUGCUCAAGACAUCUGUCUUCAUUUGAAGACUUUCCCUAGCUCUGAAAAUCUAUGAUUCCAUGAUCUCACAUUCUUUUCUCCAAUGACAUCUUCAGCAGUCGAAAUGCUAGUCCCUUUUGCCAAGACUUCUGUACCAUCUUCCCUGGGUUUAAAGUUAAGAGCAACACUUAAAGCUUCCUCUUUAUUCCUCUUUAUGUUUCAGAUUCGUCGUCUUAACUUUUAAUUCUGACAUUAGAAGAAGACGUGUUAUUUUUUUUUAAACUGAAAAUACUAUUUAGUUGACCAGAUCUAAGAACCAGCCGGGGAUGCACUGGCCUAUGUAUCUCAGGGACCUAGGGACCUCUACGUGGAUCUCAACAACUGGAAAUCUUAAAAGUAGUUCUUAGAAGUGUCUUCCCCUGUAGAGAAACCAGCUUUGGUAUUUCAGGUCCUAAUGUGUUAAAUACACUUGACCAUGAUCUAGCACUUGACAAGUUAUUAAUAAACAUAUCAGAACUUUA